CCAGUUUGACCUGUUGAUUCACUCGAGUUAUGGUUUUCAGAAAUGGAAUUAAAAUGGAAAUGAAAUUGGUUUUGAGUAUCUCUCUUAAACAGGUUUCCGCCCAGAGUUUCUGUCACAUCUCAGCGCCGAUGCCAGGAGGAGGUGAAGGGAAGGAGAGGAGAGGUGAGACGCACUGAGAAUAGGGAGACAGUGACAGAGAAGGAGCGUCAGAACCUGCUCCAGCCGCCCUUCCUCACCGGCUGCGCCACUGCCUCACCUGCACAGGCUAUUGGUGCCAUUGGCAAGACCAGCGCCCAUCCCCAAUUCUCCUUGAUCAAAGUGGCCAGAGUGCACAUGUAGACUUAACAAGACCACAUCUGGAUAUUGCCUAAACCUUGUUGCAUUUGAAUAUGGACUGCAUCAGUAUCUGAGGAGUCACAAGUGUGCUGAACAUACUGCAAUCAUCAGCAAACAUCCACAUUUCUGACUUUAUAAUGGAAGGAUGGUAGUUGAUGAAGCAGCUGAAGAUGGUUGGGUCUAGGAUACUACCCUAAGGAACUCCUUCAAAGAUGUCCUGGAGCUGAGAUGGCUGACCUCCAACCACCACAACCAUCUUCCUCUAUGCCAGGU